rnacentral:rRNA from 1 species
CCUACGGGUGGCAGCAGUGGGGAAUAUUGGGCAAUGGGCGCAAGCCUGACGCAGCAACGCCGCGUGAAGGAAGAAGGCUUUCGGGUUGUAAACUUCUUUUGUCAGGGAAGAGUAGAAGACGGUACCUGACGAAUAGACCACGGCUAACUACGUGCCAGCAGCCGCGGUAAGACGGAGGUGGCAGGCGUUGUCGGGAUUUACUGGGGGUAAAGGGCGGGUAGCCGGGUUGACAAGUCAGUUGUGAAAUCUCGGGGCUUAACCGGAGAACUGCAUUUGAAAUUGUUGAUCUUGAGUAUUGGAGAGGCAGAUGGAAUUCCUAGUGUAGCGGUGAAAUGCCUAGAUAUUAGGAGGAACACCAGUGGCGAAGGCGGUCUGCUGGACAGCAACUGACGGUGAGGCGCGAAAGCGUGGGGAGCAAACAGGAUUAGAUACCCGGGUAGUC